GAUGAACGCUGGCGGCGUGCCUAAUACAUGCAAGUCGAGCGAACAGACGAGGAGCUUGCUCCUCUGACGUUAGCGGCGGACGGGUGAGUAACACGUGGAUAACCUACCUAUAAGACUGGGAUAACUUCGGGAAACCGGAGCUAAUACCGGAUAAUAUAUUGAACCGCAUGGUUCAAUAGUGAAAGACGGUUUUGCUGUCACUUAUAGAUGGAUCCGCGCCGCAUUAGCUAGUUGGUAAGGUAACGGCUUACCAAGGCAACGAUGCGUAGCCGACCUGAGAGGAUGAUCGGCCACUCUGCAGCGAGGACGCGGACCAGCACCCGACGUGAGGCAGCAGUAGGAAACCUACCGCAAGGGGCGAAAGCCUGACGGAGCAACGCCGCGUGAGUGAUGAAGGGCUUCGGAUCGUAAGACGCUGUGAUUAUGGAAUAACAAAUGUGUAAUUAACUAUGCACGACUGAACGUAACCGAAGCAGAAAGCCACGGCAAACUACUG
rnacentral:rRNA from 1 species